GACGAACGCUGGCGGCGUGCUUAACACAUGCAAGUCGAACGGUAAGGCCCUUCGGGGUACACGAGUGGCGAACGGGUGAGUAACACGUGGGUGAUCUGCCCUGCACUUCGGGAUAAGCCUGGGAAACUGGGUCUAAUACCGGAUAGGACCACUGCCUGCAUGGGUGGUGGUGGAAAGCUUUUGCGGUGUGGGAUGGGCCCGCGGGCUAUCAGCUUGUUGGUGGGGUGAUGGCCUACCAAGGCGACGACGGGUAGCCGGCCUGAGAGGGUGACCGGGCACACUGGGACUGAGUUACGGCCCAGAUUCCUACGGGAGGCAGCAGUGGGGAAUAUUGCAGAAUGGGCGCAAGCCUGAUGCAGCGACGCCGCGUGAGGGAUGACGGCCUUCGGGUUGUAAACCUCUUUCAGCACCGACGAAGCGCAAGUGACGGUAGGUGCAGAAGAAGGACCGGCCAACUACGUGCCAGCCGCCGCCGUAA
rnacentral:rRNA from 1 species